AAAAAAAAAGAAGAAAAAAAAAAAAGAAAAAAAAGACGACGUCAACUUCCCAAGGCUUUUCAGCGUCAAGAAAGAGGAAUUUUAAGGGCAGUGGAUCUACCCCAAUCAUCAUUAACGGGACCCCAGUGGAGACAGUGAGCAGCUUCAAAUACCUUCAAAUGCCCUGCAAAGAGUAGCUGAGCACAUGUCCAGAACAUCUCUCCCUUCUCUGCAAGACAUCCACACCAGGAGAUGUAAAUCUAGGGCUGUUAAGAUCCUUAAAGACCCCACCCACCCUGGAAAUCCACUGUUUCAUCUGCUACAGUCAGACAGACGCUUCUGCAGUCUGAUGGCA